UCUACGGGAGGCAGCAGUGAGGAAUAUUGGUCAAUGAACGAGAGUCUGAACCAGCCAAGUAGCGUGAAGGAUGACUGCCCUAUGGGUUGUAAACUUCUUUUAUAAAGGAAUAAAACGAGACACGUGUGCCUUUUUGCAUGUACUUUAUGAAUAAGGAUCGGCUAACUCAGUUACAGCAGCCGCGGUAAUACGGAGGAUCCGAGCGUUGUCCGGAUUUAUUGGGUUUAAAGGGAGCGUAGAUGGGUUGUUAAGUCAGUUGUGAAAGUUUGCGGCGUAAACGUAAAAUUGCAAUUGAUACUGGCAGUCUUGAGUACAGUUGAGGUAGGCGGAAUUCGUGGUGUAGCGGUGAAAUGCGUAGAUAUCACGAAGAACUCCGAGUGCGAAGGCAGCUUACUAAACCGCCACUGACAUUGAUGCUCGAAAGUGUGGGUAUCAAACAGGAUUAGAUACCCGUGUAGUC
rnacentral:rRNA from 1 species